rnacentral:rRNA from 1 species
UCGAUAUGGUAGGAGAGCGUUCCGUAAGCCUGAGAAGGUGUCUUGUAAAGGAUGCUGGAGGUAUCGGAAGUGCGAAUGCUGACAUGAGUAGCGAUAAAGAGGGUGAAAAGCCCUCUCGCCGAAAGCCCAAGGUUUCCUGUUCAACGUUCAUCGGAGCAGGGUGAGUCGGCCCCUAAGGCGAGGCAGAGAUGCGUAGCUGAUGGGAAGCAGGUUAAUAUUCCUGCACCGUCGUAUGAUGCGAUGGGGGGACGGAUCGCGGAAGGUUGUCCAACUGUUGGAAUAGUUGGUUCUUGACUCAUAGAAGGCGCUUAGGCAAAUCCGGGCGCGUAAUUCAAGGGGUCGAGACGUGUGCCCUUGUGGCACGAAGCAAUCGGAAGUGGUUCCAAGAAAAGCCUCUAAGCUUCAGUCAUACGAGACCGUACCGCAAACCGACACAGGUGGGCGAGAUGAGUAUUCUAAGGCGCUUGAGAGAACUCGGGAGAAGGAACUCGGCAAAUUGGUACCGUAACUUCGGGAUAAGGUACGCCCCGGUAGCUUGAUUGGUUUACUCCAUGAGGGUGAAAGGGUUGCAAUAAACUGGUGGCUGCGACUGUUUAAUAAAAACACAGCACUCUGCAAACACGAAAGUGGACGUAUAGGGUGUGACGCCUGCCCGGUGCUGGAAGAUUAAAUGAUGGGGUGCAAGCUCUUGAUUGAAGUCCCAGUAAACGGCGGCCGUAACUAUAACGGUCCUAAGGUAGCGAAAUUCCUUGUCGGGUAAGUUCCGACCUGCACGAAUGGCGUAACGAUGGCCACACUGUCUCCUCCCGAGACUCAGCGAAGUUGAAAUGUUUGUGAUGAUGCAAUCUACCCGCGGCUAGACGGAAAGACCCCAUGAACCUUUACUGUAGCUUUGCAUUGGACUUUGAACCAAUCUGUGUAGGAUAGGUGGGAGGCUUUGAAGCGGGGACGCCAGUUCUCGUGGAGCCAUCCUUGAAAUACCACCCUGGUUCGUUUGAGGUUCUAACCUUGGCCCGUGAUCCGGGUCGGGGACAGUGCAUGGUAGGCAGUUUGACUGGGGCGGUCUCCUCCUAAACGGUAACGGAGGAGUUCGAAGGUACGCUAGGUACGGUCGGACAUCGUGCUAAUAGUGCAAUGGCAUAAGCGUGCUUAACUGCGAGACCGACAAGUCGAGCAGGUACGAAAGUAGGACAUAGUGAUCCGGUGGUUCUGUAUGGAAGGGCCAUCGCUCAACGGAUAAAAGGUACUCUGGGGAUAACAGGCUGAUUCCUCCCAAGAGUUCAUAUCGACGGGGGAGUUUGGCACCUCGAUGUCGGCUCAUCACAUCCUGGGGCUGUAGCCGGUCCCAAGGGUAUGGCUGUUCGCCAUUUAAAGUGGUACGUGAGCUGGGUUUAAAACGUCGUGAGACAGUUUGGUCCCUAUCUGCCGUGGGCGUUGGAAAUUUGAAGGGGGCUGCUCCUAGUACGAGAGGACCGGAGUGGACGAACCUCUGGUGUACCGGUUGUCACGCCAGUGGCAUUGCCGGGUAGCUAAGUUCGGAAGAGAUAACCGCUGAAAGCAUCUAAGCGGGAAACUCGCCUUGAGAUGAGAUUUCCCGGAGCCUUGAGCUCCUUGAAGGGUCGUUCGAGACCAGGACGUUGAUAGGUCAGGUGUGGAAGUGCAGUAAUGCAUUAAGCUAACUGAUACUAAUUGCCCGUACGGCUUGUCCCU